rnacentral:RNase_P_RNA from 1 species
AGAGAAGAUCGGACGGUCGCCGGCCGUGGCAACACGGCGGGAGGAAAGUCCGGGCUCCGCAGGGCAGGGUGCUGGCUAACGGCCAGGGGGGGCGACCCCACGGAAAGUGCCACAGAAACAUACCGCCGCCGCAAGGCGGUAAGGGUGAAACGGUGAGGUAAGAGCUCACCAGCGGCGCGGGUGACCGCACCGGCUAGGCAAACCCCACCCGGAGCAAGGCCAAAUAGGAGAGCGAUCGGACGGCCCGUCCGUGGCUCUCGGGUAAGGCCGCUCGAGACGCCGGGCAACCGGCGUCCUAGAGAAAUGACCGUCACCCUGGGUCACACGCUCGGGGGACAGGACCCGGCUUACAGAUCUUCUCUGGCG